ACAAGGGUGUGUAUAAAUCUAUUUAAAAAAGAUUAUUUGAAUGAUACAAUGCCUAUAAAUUAUUUGUAAACAUACCAACGUUUCGUGUAAUAAUCUCAGACAAUACUGCAUUACGUUAUGCAGUGUAAAUUUUUGUCAACAAACCCACGUUGAGAGCAACUGGUGACUGUCCAUCUUCGACAUACGUAAGAUGAAUGUCAAGAAACUGAUAAACAUUAACUGACAAGAGGAGACAAUGAGAGCUCAACAUCAUUCUUCAUCUCUGGUGAAGGGGAGAGUUGCAAAAUUCUGUUGCACAGCUAAAUUCAAGCAAAACAAGGAAAAAGACGGAUGCUAUAAAAAUGCGGUGUUGGCUUCCCAGUUCAGCUUUUUUAAAGAGGGACAAACAUUGCACGUUUGCAACGUCUAAAUGGAAGCAGGGCAUCUGAAAUAUACUGGAAUCCUCAUCUUAAUGGCCUUAACGCCAUUUUCAAGAAUAUCCUGCUGAAAAAGACAGUUUUCAUUGGUAUAAUGGAUGCAAGACAACACUAGUGAAUUGAAAUUGUUGUUACCACAAAUGGCACACUCCAGGAUAACACGCUUUCCAAAAACACCAUUACCGCAUGCAGCCAUAAAGGGAUUCUUUGAAAGUCUAUGUUCUGUAAUGGUGGAAGUUCUCUUGAAGAUUCCAUUAGUAUUAAAAUAAAAACUUAAAAGUUAAAAGUUCAAAUGUCUUCAAUACUAGAGACCUGUGAUCUGACAGUACAACAUGGAGCAAUUGUAAAGGACACAUAAUUUGUACAUUAUUGAAUAUCA